UACGUAGGGGGCAAGCGUUGUCCGGAUUUACUGGGCGUAAAGAGCGUGUAGGCGGCCACGCAGGUCCGUUGUGAAAACUGGAGGCUCAACCUCCAGCUGUCGACGGAAACCGUGUGGCUAGAGUCCGGAAGAGGAGAGUGGAAUUCCUGGUGUAGCGGUGAAAUGCGCAGAUAUGACCCGGAACACCGAUUGCGAAGGCAGCCCACUAAGCAAUGAUUGACGCUGAGGCACGAAAGCGUGGGGAUCAAACAGG
rnacentral:rRNA from 1 species